rnacentral:rRNA from 1 species
AGAGUUUGAUCAUGGCUCAGGACGAACGCUGGCGGCGUGCCUAAUACAUGCAAGUCGAACGCACUCUCGUUAGAUUGAAGAAGCUUGCUUCUGAUUGAUAACAUUUGAGUGAGUGGCGGACGGGUGAGUAACACGUGGGUAACCUGCCCUAAAGUGGGGGAUAACAUUUGGAAACAGAUGCUAAUACCGCAUAAAACCUAGCACCGCAUGGUGCAAGGUUGAAAGAUGGUUUCGGCUAUCACUUUAGGAUGGAUCCGCGGUGCAUUAGUUAGUUGGUGAGGUAAAGGCUCACCAAGACCGUGAUGCAUAGCCGACCUGAGAGGGUAAUCGGCCACACUGGGACUGAGACACGGCCCAGACUCCUACGGGAGGCAGCAGUAGGGAAUCUUCCACAAUGGACGAAAGUCUGAUGGAGCAACGCCGCGUGAGUGAAGAAGGUUUUCGGAUCGUAAAACUCUGUUGUUGGAGAAGAACGUAUUUGAUAGUAACUGAUCAGGUAGUGACGGUAUCCAACCAGAAAGCCACGGCUAACUACGUGCCAGCAGCCGCGGUAAUACGUAGGUGGCAAGCGUUGUCCGGAUUUAUUGGGCGUAAAGCGAGCGCAGGCGGUUUCUUAAGUCUGAUGUGAAAGCCUUCGGCUCAACCGAAGAAGUGCAUCGGAAACUGGGAAACUUGAGUGCAGAAGAGGACAGUGGAACUCCAUGUGUAGCGGUGAAAUGCGUAGAUAUAUGGAAGAACACCAGUGGCGAAGGCGGCUGUCUGGUCUGUAACUGACGCUGAGGCUCGAAAGCAUGGGUAGCAAACAGGAUUAGAUACCCUGGUAGUCCAUGCCGUAAACGAUGAGUGCUAGGUGUUGGAGGGUUUCCGCCCUUCAGUGCCGCAGCU